rnacentral:rRNA from 1 species
UACGAGUGCCUCAAGCGUUAUCCGGAAUCAUUGGGCGUAAAGGAUGUGUAGGUGGCUCUGUUAGUCUCUCGUUAAAUUCUUCGGCUUAACCGGGGACAUGCGAGGGAAACGGCAGAACUAGAGGAUGCAAGGGGUUUCUGGAACUCAUAGUGUAGCGGUGAAAUGCGUUGAUAUUAUGGGGAACACCAAAAGCGAAGGCAAGAAACUGGGGCACUCCUGACACUGAAACAUGAAAGCGUGGGUAGCGAAUGGG